AUUGAACGCUGGCGGCAUGCUUUACACAUGCAAGUCGAACGGUAACAGGUUAAGCUGACGAGUGGCGAACGGGUGAGUAAUGCAUCGGAACGUGCCCGGUCGUGGGGGAUAACGCAGCGAAAGCUGCGCUAAUACCGCAUACGAUCUGAGGAUGAAAGCGGGGGACCGUAAGGCCUCGCGCGAUCGGAGCGGCCGAUGUCAGAUUAGGUAGUUGGUGGGGUAAAGGCUCACCAAGCCGACGAUCUGUAGCUGGUCUGAGAGGACGACCAGCCACACUGGAACUGAGACACGGUCCAGACUCCUACGGGAGGCAGCAGUGGGGAAUUUUGGACAAUGGGCGCAAGCCUGAUCCAGCCAUUCCGCGUGCAGGAUGAAGGCCUCGGUUGUAACUAGCUUUGUACGGACGAAACGGACGAGCUCUAAUACAGUUUGCUAAUGACGGUACCGUAAGAAUAAGACACCGGCUAACUACGUGCCAGCAGCCGCGGU
rnacentral:rRNA from 1 species